CUUGCGUCCAAUACAGGCAACUUCUCUUUCCACAUUGCCCCAUUGAUAAUGCAACUCGUACAGGGGCACACUCGAUUAGUCGAAAAGAGGUAAUUGAUUAGCGGCUCGUCGAUAUGUGAUCGGUGCUGAUUCCACCUGAACGCGCACUGGAUGAGCCCAGUUAAAAGUAAUUAAGACGGGGGGAGCGCGUGCCAGUGACUGACAUGGUGAGACACAUCGCACCGCCGCGGGGGCUCAGUUCACGGGGGUGUACCGUCGCCCUGGUGGUGGUGGUGGCCGUGGAUGUGCGCACGGACGCCGGGGGAACACAUACGCGCUUCUCGGCGAGAAACAAAUCAUGACUUACCCCACUGGGUUCCAGGGCGAAUCACCGGUGGAGAGGAGGGAUUCAAAGUGUAACUGGUGUGAGAACUGUCCAUCGAUAGUUCAAUGGAGGAGGAUGCAGCCCUGAUGAGCUGAUGAGUGAAGAUGCCCCCAAACAAAACAAAAAAAGACACUAGUGACAAGGUGUGGCGGAUGAACUGCAGCACAAUCAAGCUUGAUUUAAAAAAAAGAAAAAAGGUUUGCAGAUUGCAGAAAGUUAAUUAAUUCCUAAACUGUAUUCUCCAGGGGGGGAAUUCUCUGCUUGUAUGAGAUGUGUUAGCAUCUGGGUUUUCCUCCACAGUUUAUCCUCAAAGAAGAGUUAAUGGUCCAUUCUCUGGCUGGAAGCUAAUUAUUCAUACAGAUCUGUUUUCUGGAGGCUGCUGCUGUAGCUCCUUCUUAGUAUUCCAGCACAUCUACUGUAACUCCAGCCGUUCCUUUGACUGCCUUUUCUUUUCUUUUUCUCAAGCUGGUGACGGCAUGAAACGUGCACAACAACAAAAAAAGCCUUUUGCUGAAUCGUGCCCAAGAAUGUGCGGAUGCAUUUUGAGCCACUGAAAAAAAUAAAGGAUCAAAAAUCAUU